rnacentral:rRNA from 1 species
UACGAAGGGUGCAAGCGUUACUCGGAAUUACUGGGCGUAAAGCGUGCGUAGGUGGUUUGUUAAGUCUGUUGUGAAAGCCCCGGGCUCAACCUGGGAAUGGCAAUGGAUACUGGCAGGCUAGAGUGCGGUAGAGGGUAGUGGAAUUCCCGGUGUAGCGGUGAAAUGCGCAGAUAUCAGGAAGAACACCCGUGGCUAAGGCGGCGUCUCUAGUACGGUACUGACGCUGAGACGCGAAAGCGUGGGGAGCGAACAGG